rnacentral:lncRNA from 7 species
GGGAUUUUACAGAAGCAGUCAUCCCGAAAAGAAAAUUCAGGCCAACCGCUUCAUCAGCCAGGACCCAAGAGGGGCACAGGCGCACAGCAGUUUAUUAUCAUGGAACUGUUUUUUUUUAAAAAAAAAGAGAGAGAGGGGGGCAUAUUUCCACUGCAAGUGUCGGUAUCCGUGUUAAAAUACGCGUGAUUUUACAAUUUUGUUACAAUAAUAUGAACCGAUGCAACCAGGCAGAGUUUAAUACAGACCAGUUCAGUCUGAAUUCUAACACUACACAGCAGAGCAGCAAAGCAGUUUCCUCUUAAAUAACAGCAAGAAUAUUCAGUUUCCAGGCCUGUGCUGUGACCUGUGAAGCAGGCAACAGCAACUCUGCAGUCUGCACUCCUGCCAACUUGUCAAAGCCCUUGCAUCGUUGGAAGAAACUAGAACAUGAGGCACCCUUACGGGCGCCCUAUCGACGAUGACGCAUAAUUCGUAAACAGGAAAGCAGAACCAGCCAUCUAAAAGAACAUAAGAACUCUAAUUAACCAAUGGCACAUAAAUAGGAGGUCCUGAAGUAGAUUCGUACCUUGAGGAAAGCGUGAAGGGUACAAGCAAUGGUUGUAGUAGCUGGGAGAGAAUUGAGAAAUAAACAUG